rnacentral:rRNA from 1 species
GAUGAACGCUGGCGGCGUGCCUAAUACAUGCAAGUCGAGCGAACAGACGAUGCGCUUGCUCCUCUGACGUUAGCGGCGGACGGGUGAGUAACACGUGGAUAACCUCCCUAUAAGACUGGGAUAACUUCGGGAAACCGGCGCUAAUACCGGAUAAUAUAUUGAACCGCAUGGUUCAAUAGUAAAAGACGGUUUUGCUGUCACUUAUAGCUGUAUCCGCGCCGCAUUAGCUGGUUGGUAAGGUAACGGCUUACCAAGGCAACGAUGCGUAGCCGACCUGUGAGGGUGAUCGGCCGCACUGGAGCUGAGACACCCUCCAUACUCCUACGGGAGGCACCAGUCGGGAAUCGUCCGCAAUAGGCGGGAGCUUGACGCAGUAGCGCCGCGCGUGUGAUGAAGGUCUUCGGAGCGUAAAGCUCUCUUAUUGGGGAAGAACAAAUGUGUAAGGAACUAUGCACGUCUUGACGGUACCUAAUCAGAAAGCCACGGCUAACUACGUG